CACAAAGUCUCCAUACACAGGGGAAAACACAGAGAGUCAUCGCUCCCAGUCACGAUGAACUCGAGUAACUCAUCUGGUGUUAUGCAUGUAACUGCACGUCCAUCGCAACCUUACGACAGCUUCAAUGAUUACAUGUUUGUUAUGAGGAAGUGAAGGUUCUCUCACCAGGCCCGGUGUGUUUCAGUACGAAGUUCUCAUCAGGAAACCGCGGGCCGUAGAUCGACUUCCCUCCUGUACCGUUAUGAUGAUCGAGCUACACAUGCUACUCCUGAGAUACCAGUGAUCCUGACCCCUCCUGCUCUCCGGACCUGCCUGAUCCAUCCUGAUGCCCUACUUCUGCUUGGAGUUCUCAUCACUUGGAAAUCACUCGCUCUUGCUGAGGAUGACCUCCAACACAGACAGCCUGAAGAUCACUGAGAUUACUGAGGAUGGCAGCACUUAGAAACCAUAAAGAUGACUUUGGACUUCAAUUGACAUGAACAGUUUUGCACUCAAGUCUGUUUGUUUGUUGGUUUGUUAAAUCUAACCACUGUCCACUGACGGAGACCUGAGAGCAAAACUGCUCGCGACAACCGCAGCCCCAAAACCACCACAGCAAUCACAGCCCCAAAGCCAUCACAGUACAGCUCCCCAUAUGAGAUCCCCAAGCCAUCUUCACAGUCUCCAAGCAGCACCAGCAAUCCCACUGACACCCAUAUGGGGCCCCAGCAGCAGCGAGUGAUCUCAACUGAUGAGAACCAGAAGUAGGGCAUCAGGAACCCAUCUCCAUCAGUGAACAGCUGAUAACUUCAAUGAAUCAGACUUCAUGUGAAAACUAUAAUGAAUUUCCUGGUUACACAACUGCACUAUUUGUCCAUGUGGUACACAAUAAUAGAAGGGAAUGAUUUAUAAUCGCACUAUCGGGUGUCACUCAGAUGAGGAUGGUUCCCUUUUGAGCCUGGUUCCUCUCAAGGUUUCUUCCUCAUAUCGUCUCAGGGAGUUUUUCCUCACCACCAUCACCUCUGGCUUCUCAUUAGGGAUAAAUUCACACAUUUAAAACUUACAUCCUGAAUGUAUUUAUUUCUGUGAAGCUGCUUUGUGACAAUAUCCGUUAUUAAAAGUGCUAUACAAAUAAAAUCAAAUUAAAUUUUUAUUUCUUUAUAAAUAUAUUAUUAUUAGACCAAGCGAGAAGAGAAGAAAUUUAAUUCAGUAAUAGUGUAAUAAUGAUGAAAUUGUAAUUUUAGUAUAACUUAUGAUGAUAAUGAUUGUUUUUUCACUGACCUGCUGU